rnacentral:rRNA from 1 species
UACGUAGGGUGCAAGCGUUGUCCGGAUUUACUGGGCGUAAAGAGCGCGCAGGCGGUCGAUCAAGUCGAGUGUGAAAGCCCCCCGGCUCAACUGGGGAGGGUCAUUCGAUACUGAUCGACUCGAAGGCAGGAGAGGGUAGUGGAAUUCCCGGUGUAGUGGUGAAAUGCGUAGAUAUCGGGAGGAACACCAGUGGCGAAGGCGACUACCUGGCCUGUUCUUGACGCUGAGGCGCGAAAGCUAGGGGAGCAAACGGGG